rnacentral:rRNA from 1 species
ACGCUCGACACCUACGGGAUGCAGCAGUAGGGAAUCUUCCACAAUGGACGCAAGUCUGAUGGAGCAACGCCGCGUGAGUGAAGAAGGUCUUCGGAUCGUAAAACUCUGUUGUUAGAGAAGAACACGAGUGAGAGUAACUGUUCAUUCGAUGACGGUAUCUAACCAGCAAGUCACGGCUAACUACGUGCCAGCGCGCCGGUACGUACUCGNGACGGGCGGUCGCGAGACGC